rnacentral:rRNA from 1 species
AGCGAACGCUGGCGGCGCGCCUAAUACAUGCAAGUCGAGCGAGAAGACGUAGCAAUACGUUUGUAAAGCGGCGAACGGGUGAGGAAUACAUGGGUAACCUACCCUCGAGUGGGGAAUAACUAGCCGAAAGGUUAGCCAAUACCGCGUACGCUCCUUGGACUUCGGUUCAGGGAGGAAAGCGAUACCGUGGGUAUCGCGCUCUUGGAUGGGCUCAUGUCCUAUCAGCUUGUUGGUGAGGUAACGGCUCACCAAGGCUUCGACGGGUAGCUGGUCUGAGAGGACAAUCAGCCACACUGGCACUGCGACACGGGCCAGACUCCUACGGGAGGCAGCAGUAAGGAAUAUUGCGCAAUGGGCGAAAGCCCUGACGCAGCGACGCCGCGUGGGGGGAUGAAGGUCUUCGGAUUGUAAACCCCUUUC